rnacentral:lncRNA from 1 species
AACCAAUAAUCGUGCCUCAAUUGGGUUUGAGCCCCAACCAUGACGGACAUGGGGAAAAGGUGGACACCUAAGUGGGUUAGAGUCUUAUACGGUGAAAGAUACCCUAAGUGGGUUAGAGUCCCAUACGGGUGACGGUUGUAACACUUCGUUUUUUUAUUAGAUAUUUUAUUAUAUUUUAAUUGUUUGAAUUAUAGAUUUUGAUGACUUAUUUUAUGGCUGUG